rnacentral:rRNA from 1 species
CUCCUACGGGAGGCAGCAGUGGGGAAUAUUGCACAAUGGGCGAAAGCCUGAUGCAGCGACGCCGCGUGAGGGAUGACGGCCUUCGGGUUGUAAACCUCUUUCAGCAGGGACGAAGCGAGAGUGACGGUACCUGCAGAAGAAGCACCGGCCAACUACGUGCCAGCAGCCGCGGUAAUACGUAGGGUGCAAGCGUUGUCCGGAAUUACUGGGCGUAAAGAGCUCGUAGGCGGUUUGUCGCGUCGUCUGUGAAAACUCGAGGCUCAACCUCGAGCUUGCAGGCGAUACGGGCAGACUUGAGUACUGCAGGGGAGACUGGAAUUCCUGGUGUAGCGGUGAAAUGCGCAGAUAUCAGGAGGAACACCGGUGGCGAAGGCGGGUCUCUGGGCAGUAACUGACGCUGAGGAGCGAAAGCGUGGGUAGCGAACAGGAUUAGAUACCCUGGUAGUCCACGCCGUAAACGGUGGGCGCUAGGUGUGGGUUUCCUUCCACGGGAUCCGUGCCGUAGCUAACGCAUUUAGCGCCCCGCCUGGGGAGUACGGCCGCAAGGCUAAAACUCAAAGGAAUUGACGG